UUGCGGUGAUGAAUCUAAUUUUUCUAUCGACGGCAUUUUCGGAAUGCUUAAUGGGAUGGGAAAUUAGUUCCUGUGCGGUUAGCUGAGCAA